GAUUGCAUAGUCUAGUGGUCAGGACUCCUCGUCGUGGCCGAGGCGACCCGGGCUCGAUUCCCGGUGCGAUCA
rfam:Emiliania huxleyi CCMP1516 EMIHTscaffold_763_Cont8830, whole genome shotgun sequence.